GUGGGCGCGCGGUGACCAGUUCGGGAAGGAGGAGGCGAGGGGUGUUGAGGCUGCUUCAGGGAGACGCAGACCCGCCAGCAUGGGAUUCCGCUCGACCAAAUGACGGUGUGACGUGCUCAGCUCACCUGGUGGUUGUAUAAAAGGAAAAGCGUCUGGAUGAUGUGGAAGAGCUGGUCGAUGUCAGACUCGCCGGGAAAGAGCGGCUCACCCGUCAGCAUCUCGGACAGGAGGCAACCCGAGGCCCACACGUCCACCUCCCUAGGAUGAGGACGAAUGUGCAGUUGCUGUAGAGUGGUUCUUUAGGCUUUAAGUAGGUGUAGUCUAGUUUAUUCUCCGGCAUAAAAAAGGAUACCGUGUGGCCGCAGUAACACGGAAAGGACCUUUAUAUUUUUGCCCAAUAGCUCCCAUCACCUGGCUGUGUCCGCCUUACCUGCCAUACUUCGUGUCCCCCACCAGCAGCUCGGGGGCGCGGUACCAUCUGGUGGCCACGUAGUCAGUGCAGGACUCGCCCGGACCCGCCAGGAGCCGCGCGAACCCAAA